rnacentral:rRNA from 1 species
GAUGAACGCUGGCGGCGUGCCUAAUACAUGCAAGUCGAGCGAACGGACGAGAAGCUUGCUUCUCUGAUGUUAGCGGCGGACGGGUGAGUAACACGUGGAUAACCUACCUAUAAGACUGGGAUAACUUCGGGAAACCGGAGCUAAUACCGGAUAAUAUUUUGAACCGCAUGGUUCAAAAGUGAAAGACGGUCUUGCUGUCACUUAUAGAUGGAUCCGCGCUGCAUUAGCUAGUUGGUAAGGUAACGGCCUACCAAGGCAACGAUGCAUAGCCGACCUGAGAGGGUGAUCGGCCACACUGGAACGGAGCCACGGUCCAGACUCCUACGGGAGGCAGCAGUAGGGAAUCUUCCGCAAUGGGCGAAAGCCUGACGGAGCAACGCCGCGUGAGUGAUGAAGGUCUUCGGAUCGUAAAACUCUGUUAUUAGGGAAGAACAUAUGUGUAAGUAACUGUGCACAUCUUGACGGUACCUAAUCAGAAAGCCACGGCUAACUACGUG